rnacentral:lncRNA from 1 species
GUCUUUAAAAAAAUGUUACCUAGAUAUGGAGGCAGCUUGUUAUACUUAGUGAAGCAUAUAAUUGCAAAAGAAUGCCCAUGAAGCACAACUUUUUUCUUACAUGGGCUUUAUUUUUUAUGUGCUAAACCCUAACUUAAAUAAUUCACUCAAAGAUAACCCUUGAUUUUCUACCGUUCACAUGUUACAUUUGUUGAAGUGAUCUAGAUUUAUAUUAUUUAAUCUUUUAUGUCACAUAAUAGGUUCAUCUAUUUCUUUUAUUAGAGGUAGUUUUGACACUUUGGCCAUUUACUUAUAUGUUGAUUUUAGGAUCUUUAUCUCUCUUAAUCGGUUAAACUUAUAAAAUAUGGAAAAAUAUACAAUUUUUUUAUUUAUAUUAGAGGUGCGUCUUAUUGUGAAUUGAUAUAUUUACAAGUUUAAUCAGCCCCAUAAUGCCACAAAAAAGAUGAAAAGAAAACUUGCUUUAAGAAAAGCUAGAAGCAAGUUUUUUCAAAUAUAUUGCUGAAGAGUAUCAACUUGUGCCAUAUACGUUGUAUUUGAUUUUAUCUACAUUGACCAGUAUAUGUCUAGCGUAUAAUUGGAUCUGAAAUGGCUGCACUUACUCAAUGUUCUUGCAUGGUGAUAUAUUUGUAAGCACUCUUUUGGCAAAGAAUUUAACGUAUUCGAAUCAUUAUGCUCCAUAAAAGGAAAAAAAAGAAGCUCAAAUAGAAAACAACACCACUGCUAGUAAGAUAGCAAUCCAGGCAAGCGCCAAAGAAAGAAGGGGUACAAGCAAGCACAAGAAUCAAAGCAGGGCAGGAUCGAAGAACUUAGACAACAAGCAAGCGAGAAGGACUCCCUCAAAGGAAGUAUGGGGAGAUUCGGUUACGUCAACUAGAACAUUUCUGCUACACAAUAGAUCAUACAUUCUUCAAAGACGAGGGGUGUUUUGCAAAUAGAAUCUUCAAUACUGAAUUUCUUGAAGUUUGAAUUGAUAACACCAACUGUUAGAUGUUUCUUGAUAAGAUUUGUGUGCGCUGCUCAUGUGAUACGUGAUUCCGGAAAGGCAUUUGAUAUCAUUUAGAUUAAACAUUGAGCAUGAGAAAAACUAGUUGCUAGAAAUGCGCAAUGAGAUUGAAGAGGAUCAUGAAACUAAAACAAGCCAAGCUCGAAGCUAUGCAAAAUCUAUAUAUUGAGAGCCAACAACAAAACUUGGAAGCUAUGAUGCAUUAUGUUACACAAAGUGCUAGUUAGAGAUCGAGAAGAGUAGAGUGUUUCAUUUCUCUUUAUUAUUGUAAUAAUCUACAUCUUGUGUUGACUAUAUUGUUACUUGAGUUUGGAUAACCAUGUAAAGUACACCAUUUUACUAUCAAUAAUAUGUG